rnacentral:rRNA from 1 species
UACGUAGGGGGCAAGCGUUGUCCGGAUUUACUGGGCGUAAAGCGCGUGUAGGCGGGUCUUUAAGUCAGGGGUGAAAUCCUGGAGCUCAACUCCAGAACUGCCUUUGAUACUGAGAAGCUUGAGUCCGGGAGAGGUGAGUGGAACUGCGAGUGUAGAGGUGAAAUUCGUAGAUAUUCGCAAGAACACCAGUGGCGAAGGCGGCUCACUGGCCCGGUACUGACGCUGAGGUGCGAAAGCGUGGGGAGCAAACAGG